rnacentral:lncRNA from 1 species
GAAAUAGGACUAUGCUCAUGCUAUAAAUAUAAAAGUAUAAUUAUAUUAUGAGUUGAGCUGGAAUACUAUCGGUAGCAAACGGAUUCCGUUGGCACUCAUUUGUUUUCGAUGAUGGAGCUUCUAAAUCGACGAUCGGCACUGUUGAAUAUAAUUUAUACCACUUAAAGUAUCUAGAAACCAAAUUUCAAAUCUUUUAGGCAUCACUGACCUAAUGAUCAAAGGGUUUUAAAUUUUGUAAUUUUAAUAAUCGAUACAAGAUGUUUCCUCGUUUAACUGCGUAAAAAUAUCCGAAUCAAUUGAAUUUUGGUUAGAAAAUUCUUUAAACUAUUUAGAGCAAGAUCUAUACUCUUGAUCUAAUUACGAAACUCCUAUUAUCACUUUUUAAAAGAUAUUCAUUUUUAGCCGUUUAUUUUUGUUUCCAUUUGAUGGGCAAGAGAACAAUUUCAAAAAAAUAUAAAAUUUGAUUUUUAGAUGCUUCAAGUGGUAUAGAUCAUGUUCAACGGUGCCGAUCGUCGAUUUGGAGGCUCCAUCAUCGAAAACAAAUGGGUGGCAAGGGAGCUCGUUUAUUACUGAUAGCAUUCCAGCUCAACUCAUUAUAUUAUAUUGCAGGAAUUAUUUCAUACAGCUCCUUGUAAAUAUAUCGAAAUGUAGAUAUAUCUUUACAAAGUUCAACUUUUCAUAUUUAUCAGUAUAAAAGUCCUAACAUUUUCAAAUAUAUUUCUACUGUUAGAAUCCGUCAGAAAAAUAUAGUUAAACAUAUAUAGAUAAAAUACUACUUAACCUUGAUUAUUGAAUAAGAUAAAUGAUCUUUUUAUCCCUCUUAUAUUUGCAAUAGUAAAAAUAACAUUUCACUUACAUAGAAAGAAUAUAAGCGGUGAAAAUUUUUGGGAUGACAUUUCUGCACAAUUUUAACUGUUCGGACCUUUGGAGGGUCAUGGCAAAAAUAUCAUUUCACUUAUCUUUUAUCUAACAGUAACAAACUAGAGAGACAAAUAUAAAUAUAACUGAAUUUUUAUAGAAAUAAAUAUAAAAAAUUAAACUUUAUAAAAAUAAAUAUAUCUCCUAUUCGAUAUAUUUAUGGGAAAUUAUAUAAAAUUAUUCCUUUAUUAUUUUAUAUGUUAUUUUAAGAUAUAUAUUAUAAAUUCGAAGUGUGGGAGAAAAUUGGGG